GCCCGAACAGUGGACAUAUACUCGUGCUGGCUUUGCAACUCGUUUGACAUAGAUGCCAGCACAUAAUACUUGACUCGACUAUCUUCAUCCGUCCACUUCUCGAAAGCAACUUUUUGCUCAACUGUAGGAUGGUUUGGUAGCACUAUAGGAUCCUGGUCAAAAAUAUUGCUUAAUUUUUUUGAGGUCAGGACAAUCCUGAGAUUUUUGAGCCAGUCUUUGUAAUUGGUACCGGUCAAAUGAUUGGUUU
rnacentral:lncRNA from 1 species